GUUUUAAUAGUUUAAGAAAAACGUAGGUCUUGUAAGCCUAAACUGGGGCCUUCCCUUAAAACU
rnacentral:tRNA from 1 species